CGUGACGUCAUUUCUGUUUUAAAUGUUAAAUCAAAAUGGUGAUCGGCGAAAUUAAAAAGCGAUUUAAUUUGCGAAAAGCAAACACUGUUAGAAUAUCCCGGUCGACUUUUUGGAUAAAAGCCGCAUGAUGAGUAAUUCAGAAAGAACAAAGUGGUAUACAGGCAUUAAAAAACGGAAACGGGCAAAACAACAAUAUCAAAGCAAAGUCCGUCAAAAAUAUUCAAAUACAAGUCAACCAUCCAGGGAAAAGGCAACAUCUGCAUUACAAAAACGACAAGAAAGGAGAGAACAAACAACAUGAACGUGAACGGAAGCGAGUGUGGCAUUCCCAGAAUCAAUUUAGUUUAUCUUUAAAUGUAUAAUCAGACGCUCCACGCAGAACGUCAUUUCAACGUUACGUCAUGUUACGCUUUACGUGAACCAAUAACGUGCGACUGUUCACAGCAUAGCAUCAACAACACACGGCAUACCACCACAACCACACAGCAUUUAUAAAAUACGCUAAUAUUACCAGUGUGAUCAGCAUUGUGUCACACCGGUGUUACUGACAAUAACGUAGUGACGUCACCAUUUAUGUAUAGAAUGGUGUGAUCAGCACACAGUGGUUCGAAAAGCGCUUGUAAAAUGAUUACAUGUAAUAUUGUAUUAACCUCAAAACGUCAUAUCCAACAUAUAGAUUAUAUGUUCAUAAUGAAUGUAAACUUGGAUUUUUUAUUUCAAUAAACAGGCCUUUAAAUUAA